rnacentral:rRNA from 1 species
GACGCUGGCGGCGUGCCUAAUACAUGCAAGUCGAACGGUCUUUUCUAUGGAAGCUUGCUUCCACUGAGAAGAUAGUGGCGAACGGGUGAGUAACACGUGGGUAACCUGCCCAUAAGAGGGGGAUAACAUCCGGAAACGGGUGCUAAUACCGCAUAGUUUUCUUGAUCGCAUGAUCGGGAAAGGAAAGACGGCCUUUGUGCUGUCGCUUAUGGAUGGACCCGCGGCGUAUUAGUUAGUUGGUGAGGUAACGGCUCACCAAGACGAUGAUACGUAGCCGACCUGAGAGGGUGAUCGGCCACAUUGGGACUGAGACACGGCCCAAACUCCUACGGGAGGCAGCAGUAGGGAAUCUUCCGCAAUGGACGAAAGUCUGACGGAGCAACGCCGCGUGAGUGAAGAAAGGUUUUCGGAUCGUAAAACUCUGUUGUCAGAGAAGAACAAGUUGGAGAGUAACUGCUCCAGCCUUGACGGUAUCUGACCAGAAAGCCACGGCUAACUACGUGCCAGCCGCCGC